UCACUGUACCUCAGUACACGUGACAAUAAAGGACCAUUAAAACCAUUGAAUGCAAAUGAAUGAUUUCAUCCCGUGAUUUCAUUAAUGAUAAUUUUAAUUUUAAUGUCUUAAUACCAAGGCGGAAUUGAAGACCUAACUAUUGGUGCACUUGAAUUACAAAUGUUGCGUGUGUGAUUUCCAUUCUAUGUUGCCCAGUUUUUAUCACUGUUUAGAGGUAUUAAUCUCUUGUUAACUUCCUUAGGUGCUGGAAGACUUGAAGAAGAAACUUCGUGAAAAGGACGAGGCACUGCUGGAAACAACACAACAUGUGGAAGUACUGCAGAGAAAGCUCGAUGAGAAGAAUCGGGAGCUAGCGGAGUUGGUUGAAGAUUUGAGGAAGCUUGAGGACGAGAAUGAAAAUCUCGACAACAAGCUUCUGGCUGAAGACUACGCCACCCAUAUCAAGGUCCGAGAUUGGAAAGAAAGUCACAAGGCUGAUUUAACAAAUCUCAAAGAACAAGUGAGGCUUCUGAACCAAGAGGCGGAAAGAUCGGAGGACAGGUCCUUGUCAAUUGAAGCUUCGUUCCAGUCUAAAAUCGAGCAGAUCCAAGAGGAGCUGGACAAUGUACAGGUACCCCAAAUAUAAGUCCCUUGCACCUGGUGACGAUUAACUGAAUAUUGAUCUGUUUGCCAUUUACCUG